GGAUUCGAUCAUACCAGCACUAAAGCACCGCAUCCCAUCAGAACUCCGAAGUUAAGCGUGCUUGGGCGAGAGUAGUACUAGGAUGGGUGACCUCCUGGGAAGUCCUCGUGUUGCAUUCC
rnacentral:rRNA from 1 species